AAUGAACGCUGGCGGCGUGCCUAACACAUGCAAGUCGAACGAGAAAGUCUCUUUCGGGAGGCGAGUAAAGUGGCGAACGGGUGAGUAACACGUGGGUAACCUACCCUCGAGAUGGGGAUAACUCCGCGAAAGCGGUGCUAAUACCCAAUAAUAUUCCCGAAUUUUACGAUACGGGAAUCAAAGAUGGCCUAUGCAUGCAAGCUAUCGCUUGAGGAGGGGCUCGCGGCCCAUUAGCUUGUUGGUGGGGUAAAGGCUUACCAAGGCGACGAUGGGUAGCCGGCCUGAGAGGGUGAUCGGCCACACUGGAACUGAGACACGGUCCAGACUCCUACGGGAGGCAGCAGUGGGGAAUUUUGCGCAAUGGGCGAAAGCCUGACGCAGCAACGCCGCGUGGGUGAUGAAGGCCUUCGGGUCGUAAAACCCUGUCUUGCGGGAAGAAAUGCAUUGGCUCUAAUAUAGUCGAUGCUUGACGGUACCGCAGGAGGAAGCCCCGGCCAACUCCGUG
rnacentral:rRNA from 1 species